rnacentral:rRNA from 1 species
GACGAACGCUGGCGGCGCGCCUAACACAUGCAAGUCGAACGAGCGAGAGAGAGCUUGCUUUCUCAAGCGAGUGGCGAACGGGUGAGUAACGCGUGAGGAACCUGCCUCAAAGAGGGGGACAACAGUUGGAAACGACUGCUAAUACCGCAUAAGCCCACGGCUCGGCAUCGAGCAGAGGGAAAAGGAGCAAUCCGCUUUGAGAUGGCCUCGCGUCCGAUUAGCUAGUUGGUGAGGUAAUGGCCCACCAAGGCGACGAUCGGUAGCCGGACUGAGAGGUUGAACGGCCACAUUGGGACUGAGACACGGCCCAGACUCCUACGGGAGGCAGCAGUGGGGAAUAUUGCACAAUGGGGGAAACCCUGAUGCAGCGACGCCGCGUGGAGGAAGAAGGUCUUCGGAUUGUAAACUCCUGUUGUUGAGGAAGAUAAUGACGGUACUCAACAAGGAAGUGACGGCUAACUACGUGCCAGCAGCCGCGGUAAAACGUAGGUCACAAGCGUUGUCCGGAAUUACUGGGUGUAAAGGGAGCGCAGGCGGGAAGACAAGUUGGAAGUGAAAUCCAUGGGCUCAACCCAUGAACUGCUUUCAAAACUGUUUUUCUUGAGUAGUGCAGAGGUAGGCGGAAUUCCCGGUGUAGCGGUGGAAUGCGUAGAUAUCGGGAGGAACACCAGUGGCGAAGGCGGCCUACUGGGCACCAACUGACGCUGAGGCUCGAAAGUGUGGGUAGCAAACAGGAUUAGAUACCCUGGUAGUCCACACUGUAAACGAUGAUUACUAGGUGUUGGAGGAUUGACCCCUUCAGUGCCGCAGUUAACACAAUAAGUAAUCCACCUGGGGAGUACGACCGCAAGGUUGAAACUCAAAGGAAUUGACGGGGGCCCGCACAAGCAGUGGAGUAUGUGGUUUAAUUCGACGCAACGCGAAGAACCUUACCAAGUCUUGACAUCCUGCGACGCACAUAGAAAUAUGUGUUUCCUUCGGGACGCAGAGACAGGUGGUGCAUGGUUGUCGUCAGCUCGUGUCGUGAGAUGUUGGGUUAAGUCCCGCAACGAGCGCAACCCUUAUGGUCAGUUACUACGCAAGAGGACUCUGGCCAGACUGCCGUUGACAAAACGGAGGAAGGUGGGGAUGACGUCAAAUCAUCAUGCCCUUUAUGACUUGGGCUACACACGUACUACAAUGGCGUUAAACAAAGAGAAGCAAGACCGCGAGGUGGAGCAAAACUCAGAAACAACGUCCCAGUUCGGACUGCAGGCUGCAACUCGCCUGCACGAAGUCGGAAUUGCUAGUAAUCGCAGAUCAGCAUGCUGCGGUGAAUACGUUCCCGGGCCUU